AUUGAACGCUGGCGGCAGGCCUAACACAUGCAAUCCGAGCGAGCGGGGGACGGGUGGGUAUUGUAUGGGGACUGCCCGAAAGAGGGGGAAAACUACUGGAAACGUAAGUUAUUACCCCAAACUAUGGGAGAACCCUUAUGGGAUUAGCUAGUAGGUGAGGUAAUGGCUCACCUAGGCGACGAUCCCUAGCUGGUCUGAGAGGAUGACCAGCCACACUGGGACUGAGACACGGCCCAGACUCCUACGGAGGCAGCAGUGGGGAAUAUUGCACAAUGGGCGCAAGCCUGAUGCAGCCAUGCCGCGUGUAUGAAGAAGGCCCUAGGGUUGUAAAGUACUUUCAGUCGGGAGGCGUUACCGACAGAAGAAGCACCGGCUAACUCCGUGCCAGCAGCCGCGGUAAUAC
rnacentral:rRNA from 1 species